rnacentral:tRNA from 1 species
UCCCUGGAGGACUAGUGGUUAGGCCACGGUGCUCUCACCGCUGUGGCCUGGGUUCGAUUCCCGGCCAGGGAA